AAUCGCAGCAAAGCACAUACGAGCUGAAAGAAAAAAAGGGCUCUUAAAAGAUGGGCAUCUUUUAAGAAGUAAAAGCCAGACAAAAAGAGCAAAGAAGAACCAGCAAAGCCAAGCAACAUCUAGGCCUACAACAACCACGCCACCAUCAAACACUUUUAUCGUUGCCAUGGAGGUGCUCGGUCUGACUUUUGCACCAACAAAUGUCCCACAACCUACCUUGACUUCAGCUUCUAUAGCCUCACCGUCAAUAUCCCCACUAACCAGCUCCGUCAUCACUCCGCCGCUUACAGGAAUGGCAAGCUCCACCAGCCUCUCCAUUGCUCCACCAGCUGCAUCACUCCACUAGCCUCACCAUGACUCCUACACAAACACCUCUCCAACUCUCCACUUACCAGCCGUGUCAAUGCAACAACCUGGUCAUCUCUCCACCAGCC